CGCCGGACCGUGCACAAGUCUCCUGGAAUGGAGCGUCAUAGAGGGUGAGAAUCCCGUCUUUGGCACGGACGCGUCGGUGCUCUGCGAUGCGCUCUCGAAGAGUCGAGUUGUUUGGRAAUGCAGCUCAAAAUGGGUGGUGAACUCCAUCUAAAGCUAAAUAUUGGCGAGAGACCGAUAGCGAACAAGUACCGUGAGGGAAAGAUGAAAAGCACUUUGGAAAGAGAGUGAAACAGUACGUGAAAUUGUUGAAAGGGAAACGCUUGAAGUCAGUCGCGUCGACCGAGACUCAGCCUCGCCUUGGCUUGGUGUGCUUCUCGGCUGAUGGGUCAGCAUCAAUUUUGCCCCUCGGAUAAUGGCAAAGGAAAGGUGGCAUCUCUCGGGGUGUGUUAUAGUCCUUUGUCGCAUGCGAGGGUCGGGAUUGAGGAACUCAGCACGCACUUCAGUGUCGGGGCCUUUUGGCUCACGCAACGUGCUUAGGAUGCUGGCAUAAUGGCUUUAAACGACCCGUCUUGAAACACGGACCAAGGAGUCUAACAUGCCCGCGAGUGUUCGGGUGGAAAACCCGUGCGCGUAAUGAAAGUGAAAGUUGGGACCUCUGUCGUGGAGGGCACCGACGCCCGGACCAGACCUUCUGUGACGGAUCUGCGGUAGAGCGUGCAUGUUGGGACCCGAAAGAUGGUGAACUAUGCCUGAAUAGGGUGAAGCCAGAGGAAACUCUGGUGGAGGCUCGUAGCGAUUCUGACGUGCAAAUCGAUCGUCAAAUUUGGGUAUAGGGGCGAAAGACUAAUCGAACCAUCUAGUAGCUGGUUCCUG
rnacentral:rRNA from 1 species